rnacentral:rRNA from 1 species
GAUGAACGCUGGCGGCGUGCCUAAUACAUGCAAGUCGAGCGAACAGACGAGGAGCUUGCUCCUCUGACGUUAGCGGCGGACGGGUGAGUAACACGUGGAUAACCUACCUAUAAGACUGGGAUAACUUCGGGAAACCGGAGCUAAUACCGGAUAAUAUAUUGAACCGCAUGGUUCAAUAGUGAAAGACGGUUUUGCUGUCACUUAUAGAUGGAUCCGCGCCGCAUUAGCUAGUUGGUAAGGUAACGGCUUACCAAGGCAACGAUGCGUAGCCGACCUGAGAGGGUGAUCGGCCACACUGGAACUGAGACGCGGUCCAGACUCCUACGGGAGGCAGCAGUAGGGAAUCUUCCGCAAUGGGCGAAAGCCUGACGGAGCAGCGCCGCGUGAGUGAUGAAGGUCUUCGGAUCGUAAAACUCUGUUAUUAGGGAAGAACAAAUGUGUAAGUAACUAUGCACGUCUUGACGGUACCUAAUCAGAAAGCCACGGCUAACUACGUG